CUGAGCUUAGCUGAACUAGAGAGGCCAGGAAAGAAGAUGGCUCUGAGAGAUCACAGCCAUUAUCCAUUAAUCCCCACAGAAAUGAACAGGAUUCCUUUAGCGAAUCUCACUGAGUUGCUCUGGCUGGCCUCUAACCUGAGAUCCUCCUGUCUCAGCCUUCUGAGACACUGGAAUUACAGCUAUGAAAGUAACUCAUGUUAAUGAAGUUCUACUUUUACACAUGCUCCGCAGACAUAGAGAAAGAAUAAUAAUGCUUAUGAGUCCCAGAUUAAAAUAAAAAAUAUAUUGGAAAUUGGUC